GAUGAACGCUGGCGGCGUGCUUAACACAUGCAAGUCGAACGAAGCACUUUAUUACGAUUUCUUCGGAAUGACGAUUUGGUGACUGAGUGGCGGACGGGUGAGUAACGCGUGGGUAACCUGCCUUAUACAGGGGGAUAACAGUUGGAAACGGCUGCUAAUACCGCAUAAGCGCACAGGGUCGCAUGACCUGGUGUGAAAAACUCCGGUGGUACAAGAUGGACCCGCGUCUGAUUAGCUAGUUGGUGAGGUAACGGCCCACCAAGGCGACGAUCAGUAGCCGGCCUGAGAGGGUGAACGGCCACAUUGGGACUGAGACACGGCCCAAACUCCUACGGGAGGCAGCAGUGGGGAAUAUUGCACAAUGGGGGAAACCCUGAUGCAGCGACGCCGCGUGGAGGAAGAAGGUCUUCGGAUUGUAAACUCCUGUUGUUGAGGAAGAUAAUGACGGUACUCAACAAGGAAGUGACGGCUAACUACGUG
rnacentral:rRNA from 1 species